AGAGUUUGAUCCUGGCUCAGAACGAACGCUGGCGGCGUGCCUAACACAUGCAAGUCGAACGGAWUUGAGGKGCUUGCWCYUCAAKUUAGUGGCGCACGGGUGAGUAACGCGUAGAUAAUCUGCCUGAUGAUCYGGGAUAACACUUCGAAAGRGGUGCUAAUACCGGAUAAGCCCACGGRGUCUUUGGAYYYUGCGGGAAAAGGGGGGGACCUUCGGGCCUUCUGUCAUCAGAUGAGUCUGCGUACCAUUAGCUAGUUGGUAGGGUAAUGGCCUACCAAGGCUACGAUGGUUAGCUGGUYUGAGAGRAUGAUCAGCCACACUGGAACUGAGACACGGUCCAGACUCCUACGGGAGGCAGCAGUGGGGAAUUUUGCGCAAUGGGCGAAAGCCUGACGCAGCAACGCCGCGUGAGUGAUGAAGGCUUUCGGGUCGUAAAGCUCUGUCGAGGGGAAAGAAGUGUAUUGUGGCUAAUAUCCACGAUACUUGACGGUACCCCUAAAGGAAGCACCGGCUAACUCCGUGCCAGCAGCCGCGGUAAUACGGGGGGUGCAAGCGUUGUUCGGAAUUAUUGGGCGUAAAGMGCGUGUAGGCGGUYUGWUWAGUCUGAUGUGAAAGCCCUGGGCUCAACCCAGGAAGUGCAUUGGAWACUGKCAGACUUGAAUACGGGAGAGGGYAGUGGAAUUCCUAGUGUAGGAGUGAAAUCCGUAGAUAUUAGGAGGAACACCGGUGGCGAAGGCGGCURCCUGGACCGAUAUUGACGCUGAGACGCGAAAGCGUGGGUAGCAAACAGGAUUAGAUACCCUGGUAGUCC
rnacentral:rRNA from 1 species